GACGUAGGGGGCAAGCGUUGUCCGGAAUUAUUGGGCGUAAAGCGCGCGCAGGUGGUUCCUUAAGUCUGAUGUGAAAGCCCACGGCUCAACCGUGGAGGGUCAUUGGAAACUGGGGAACUUGAGUGCAGAAGAGGAAAGUGGAAUUCCACGUGUAGCGGUGAAAUGCGUAGAGAUGUGGAGGAACACCAGUGGCGAAGGCGACUUUCUGGUCUGUAACUGACACUGAGGCGCGAAAGCGUGGGGAGCGAACAGG
rnacentral:rRNA from 1 species